UUUUGCAAAUUUCCCUUCAGUCAUUCAGUCGAAUCAAUCGUCUUCUCUUCUUCACUCUUCAAGUUUUCAGUCGACAGCAAUGCUAUGUUGCCCACUGCCGGCCAACAUAGCAUUUCGAUGACUCUGUAAACUUCACCUUUGACUAUUGAAGUUAAUCGAGACAAUUGUUCCAGAUCUGUAACGGAGCUUUCUUGCAUUUUUACUGUGAACUAAUGUUUCUUGCAGCAUUUUAGUGUUUCAGAUUUGCAGAAGAGAUUCUGGGUUUUGCCCCAUUUGGAAGUCCAGAGCUUUCUGAGGGUUUAAAAGUGAGAGCUCUCUGUCUUGUACAUACAUAAAAUAAUGGUUUAUAAGUAUUCUAUAACCCUUGCGUGUAUGAAGCUCGUACUUCGCCUUGCACCUCGUGCCUAGGCCCCAGGAAUUCUUUGCACCUUUGACAACUAUGUUGACUACACAUAGAAGCACUGGAAGCUGAUUAAGACAUUGAACUUCUGAAGUUCCAUGUCUGAGACCAACCAGUUGUGUGUGCUCGGACCCUGUUUAUUUCUACCAUGCUUCUUAAGAAAGGUGCAGAAGGAGGACGCACAUUUCUCAUUGGAAGAAUCAUAUGCAGAGAAAUUCUAAUGGAGGGAUGUCUGGUAGAGCAGAUUGUUCAAGAAACGCAAAAACCUGGGCUCCCUGGAACAAGCUAAGCAACAUUCCUUGAAUCCAUAUCAUCGAUCAUGGACUUGCAACCCUGAUGAAACUCUCCAUGAAAGACUAGCAAAGUUCUAUGUGAUGUUGCCAUCACUUUUGAUCACAUGGUCCUUGGAUGUUGGGUCAAGUCUUUGCAAACAGUGCCUUCUGGCCCCCACCACCAACAUCAAAAAG